UACGUAGGGUGCGAGCGUUAAUCGGAAUUACUGGGCGUAAAGCGUGCGCAGGCGGUUAUGCAAGACAGAUGGGAAAUCCCCGGGCUCAACCUGGGAAUGGCAUUUGGGACUGCAAGGCUCGAGUGCGGCAGAGGAGACUGGAAUUCCUGGUGUAGCAGUGAAAUGCGUAGAUAUCAGGAGGAAUACCGAUGGCGAAGGCAGGUCUCUGGGCUGACACUGACGCUCAUGCACGAAAGCGUGGGGAGCAAACAGG
rnacentral:rRNA from 1 species